AGGGAACAGAGCCGUGAGAGGAGAAUGGAAAGCAGGAUAGGAAAGUCAUGGGGGUUUUUCCACGUAAACAAGAGAGGCUGCAGGUUGACAAAGCUCCUUACUCUAAUACACUCACCCAGGUCUAUGACAAAGACUGAAGAUGACAUCUUUUUGGGCUCUAAUGCUUUAGUUUCUGGCAAGCUCAGCACCAAACCCUCCUGACUCCUGACCCCAUCAUCCUUGGCUUGCAAGGAAACAAGCCGAACUGCUGAUGCCAUAGUACAGAAGAGUACACCUGCCAAAAGAUAGAGACGGGAGGAGAUCUCUGCAGAAUGAUGGAAGAUCUCCAAACCCAGAAGGCUGGCCAGGAGUAAGAAGACUGAGCAGGGGUGCCUCUGUUGUCCCAGGCAGCAUAAGAUUUCUGGAAGCUACAGUACAAUUCUUGCCUGGAGCCAUCCUGCUGCUUCAGGGCAGGCUUUGAUUCCUGACUCAUUUGACUGAAAUCCUCUAUGCUGCCCUGUAGACUAUCCAGACACCACAUCCCAAUUAAAUCUGCAUUUAAAUUGAAUCUGC
rnacentral:lncRNA from 1 species